rnacentral:rRNA from 1 species
UACGUAGGGUGCAGGCGUUAAUCGGAAUUACUGGGCGUAAAGCGUGCGCAGGCGGUCUGCUAAGUGAGGUGUGAAAUCCCCGGGCUUAACCUGGGAACUGCGCUUCUAACUGGCAGGCUAGAGUGUGGCAGAGGGGGGUGGAAUUCCACGUGUAGCAGUGAAAUGCGUAGAGAUGUGGAGGAACACCGAUGGCGAAGGCAGCCCCCUGGGCUACCACUGACGCUCAUGCACGAAAGCGUGGGGAGCAAACAGG